UACGUAGGGGGCAAGCGUUGUCCGGAUUUAUUGGGCGUAAAGAGCUCGUAGGUGGUUCGGUAAGUCGGAUGUGAAAUCUCCAGGCUCAACCUGGAGGGGUCAUUCGAUACUGCCGUGACUAGAGGUCGGUAGGGGAGUGUGGAAUUCCUGGUGGAGCGGUGAAAUGCGCAGAUAUCAGGAGGAACACCAAUGGCGAAGGCAGAUCUCUGGGCCGUAACUGACGCUGAGGAGCGAAAGCAUGGGGAGCGAACAGG
rnacentral:rRNA from 1 species